AUAACUCAAAUUUCUAUGCAGUUCGAACGUUUGCCUACGUUUGCCGCUAGGGGCGCUGUUCCAACUGCAUACAAAUUUGACUUA
rnacentral:pre_miRNA from 1 species